rnacentral:rRNA from 1 species
UACGGAGGGUGCAAGCGUUAAUCGGAAUUACUGGGCGUAAAGCGCACGCAGGCGGUUUGUUAAGUCAGAUGUGAAAUCCCCGCGCUUAACGUGGGAACUGCAUUUGAAACUGGCAAGCUAGAGUCUUGUAGAGGGGGGUAGAAUUCCAGGUGUAGCGGUGAAAUGCGUAGAGAUCUGGAGGAAUACCGGUGGCGAAGGCGGCCCCCUGGACAAAGACUGACGCUCAGGUGCGAAAGCGUGGGGAGCGAACAGG